rnacentral:rRNA from 1 species
GAUCCUGGCUCAGAUUGAACGCUGGCGGCAGGCCUAACACAUGCAAGUCGAACGGUAACAGGAAGAAGCUUGCUUCUUUGCUGACGGGUGGCGGACGGGUGAGUAAUGUCUGGGAAACUGCCUGAUGGAGGGGGAUAACUACUGGAAACGGUAGCUAAUACCGCAUAACGUCGCAAGACCAAAGAGGGGGACCUUCGGGCCUCUUGCCAUCGGAUGUGCCCAGAUGGGAUUAGCUUGUUGGUGGGGUAACGGCUCACCAAGGCGACGAUCCCUAGCUGGUCUGAGAGGAUGACCAGCCACACUGGAACUGAGACACGGUCCAGACUCCUACGGGAGGCAGCAGUGGGAAUAUUGCACAAUGGGCGCAAGCCUGAUGCAGCCAUGCCGCGUGUAUGAAGAAGGCCUUCGGGUUGUAAAGUACUUUCAGCGGGAGGAAGGGAGUAAAGUUAAUACCUUUGCUCAUUGACGUUACCCGCAGAAGAAGCACCGGCUAACUCCGUGCCAGCCGCAGC